rnacentral:rRNA from 1 species
GGACGAACGCUGGCGGCGUGCUUAACACAUGCAAGUCGAGCGGUAAGGCCCUUUCGGGGGUACACGAGCGGCGAACGGGUGAGUAACACGUGGGUGACCUGCCCUCAGCUCUGGGAUAAGCCUGGGAAACCGGGUCUAAUACCGGAUAUGACUCCAUGACGCAUGUUGUGGGGUGGAAAGCCUUGUGCGGCUGAGGAUGGGCCCGCGGCCUAUCAGCUUGUUGGUGGGGUGAUGGCCUACCAAGGCGACGACGGGUAGCCGGCCUGA